CGGUCGAUUUAAUUUAACUCUAGUGGCGGACGGGUGAGUAACGCGUGGGUAACCUGCCUUAUACAGGGGGAUAACAGUCAGAAAUGGCUGCUAAUACCGCAUAAGCGCACAGAGCUGCAUGGCUCGGUGUGAAAAACUCCGGUGGUAUAAGAUGGACCCGCGUUGGAUUAGCUUGUUGGUGGGGUAACGGCCCACCAAGGCGACGAUCCAUAGCCGGCCUGAGAGGGUGAACGGCCACAUUGGGACUGAGACACGGCCCAGACUCCUACGGGAGGCAGCAGUGGGGAAUAUUGCACAAUGGGGGAAACCCUGAUGCAGCGACGCCGCGUGAAGGAAGAAGUAUCUCGGUAUGUAAACUUCUAUCAGCACGGAAGAUAGUGACGGUACCUGACUAAGAAGCCCCGGCUAACUACGUGCCAGCAGCCGCGGUAAUACGUAGGGGGCAAGCGUUAUCCGGAUUUACUGGGUGUAAAGGGAGCGUAGACGGUGUGGCAAGUCUGAUGUGAA
rnacentral:rRNA from 1 species